AAAUUGAAGGGGGGGGGGGGGUUAUUUAGUACUCUAUGCUGAAAUAUUCCCAUUAAAUAUACACAUAAAUUUUAUUUCAUUUUUUUAACACUAAUAAUUAAUCCAUUCUUGUCUAUAUUAAAAUAUACAGUAGUAGCUAUUACUUUCAAUUUCACUUGGUACCGUUUGUGUCAAAGACUAAUACCACGUACGAUUUACUAAACUUUCGGUUUCACUUUCGCAGCACAACUAUGGCCGAGUAUGAAUAUAGUUAUGGGAUUUCGUGUUUACAGGGAUAUCUAUAAUCUGGGAUCCAUUCCAGGGAGAAACUCUUGAAAAAAAAUAGAAAUCAACAAUCCUAUGCAUAAAUAUGCGAUUGCUGUUGUAAAGGACGGUGCAGUAGUUGGACACAUGCCUCGAAAAAUAAGAGAAACAAUCCUGCACAUCAUUUGUGGAAAUGGAAGAGUUAGAGGCAGAACAGGAGGAACAAUCAUGAACAUCAUUAGUUGAAAUGGGAGAGUUAGAGGCAGAACAGUCAUUUCACCCAAGGAGGCAUGCAUAUGGAUUUAGGCUGUGAAAAAGAACCCCAAACAAAAUGGAGGC